AGUGAACGCUGGCGGCAGGCCUAACACAUGCAAGUCGAACGGCAGCACAGUGGAGUUUGCUUGAUGGCUGGUGGCUAGCGGGCGGGUGAGACAUACAUAGGCAUCCGCUCAGUCGUGGGGGAUAACGUAGAGCAACUUACGCUACUCACGCAUGCGCCCUUCGGGGGAGAGGGGGGGACCUUCGUGCCUCGGGCGAUUGGGUGAGCGCAUGUUCGAUUAGCUAGUGGGGGGGGUAAAGGCCCACCAAGGCGACGAUCGGUAGCUGGUCUGAGAGGAUGACCAGCCACACUGGGACUGAGACACGGCCCAGACUCCUACGGGAGGCAGCAGUAGGGAAUUUUGGACAAUGGGCGAAAGCCUGAUCCAGCCAUGCCGCGUGAGUGAAGAAGGCCCUCGGGUUGUAAAGCUCUUUUGUCCGGGAAGAAAUCCAUCGGCCUAAUACGGCCGUGUGCUGACGGUACCGGAAGAAUAAGCACCGGCUAACUACGUG
rnacentral:rRNA from 1 species